UAAAAUAUUUUUUUAUAACUUUUAUUUAAUUAAUAAUUAGACUUAUAAAAUUAUAUAAACAUAUUAAAAAAAGUAAAAUUUAUUAUAAAAUUUUUUUUAUAUCCGAAACAUCGCGCCGGUAUUUCACUAGUAUGCUCAAAAGUUGAGUGUACAAAUAGGAUUUUUCUUUAUCUAUAAUCUAUAACUCUAUAUGAAUCCCCAAUAAAAAUGAUGACAUGGCAAGCUCUCCUUUUUUUUAGAUUUUUUAUAUUUUUUUGCUCUCUUUGAACCGACAUCUCCUCUUCCUUCAACCGUUUCUCUUUUUCAUAUGACAUUUUAUCUUUCCAAUGUGACCGUUUAUCUUUUCUAUAUGAAAGUUAUCUUCUCCAUGCGACCGUUUCUCUUUUCCAUAUGACAAUUUAUUUUUCCGGCCAUGCAACUAUUUCUCUUCGCCAUAAUUUCAUAUGACAUUUUAUCUUUCCAAUGUGAUCGUUUUUCUUUCCCAUAUAAAAGUUAUCUUCUCCAUACGACCGUUUCUCUUUUCGAUAUGACAAUUUAUUUUUCCGGCCAUGCAACCGUUUCUCUUCGCCAUAAGUUAUGGUUUCUUCUCCUGCUUCUUCAUUGCCAUUUUCUUUACCAUCUUGCCUUUUUUAGUACAGAUUAACCAAAAUGUUGGGUGGUGACUGCGUAAUCUAUUGCCUUCCUCGGCAUGAUUCGAGACGAGGGCGCCAAUGUCAUCCGCUCCUCCCUCUGCGUCGAUCACGAUCUCCUCCGCCACACCACCAUUCACGACCUCCUUUCUACAAUCUACAUCGCAUCAUAAACGGCCGCAAACGGCCGCGUUGAGGUUGGUUUCGUUUAAUCGCUUCUUUCUCUCUUUUGUAAUUUUUUGUAAUAUUUUUUUUUGUUGGAGAUGAAGAAGAGAGGAGAGUUUCCAAAAAUACCGAGAAAGAGAGAGGAGGAGAGUUGGCGGAUAUGGUGAGUUGUGUACUGGAAUCCGUAGUCGAGGAUAAGGAUGGGGUUCCGGCAAUGUUGGUGGUAGUGGCGGCGACGGCCCGUUUUGC
rnacentral:lncRNA from 1 species